AUGCUGGAGACUGGGGACCAAAGAGCAGAAUUGCAGAGCAUAGCUAAGAAAGGGGCUCAGAAAAUGAGCCACACUUAUGCAGGUUAUUUAAAUACAUUGCUCCAACUAAACUUCACAAUAAUUCCAAGAAGGAGGUGGCGGUGGGUGGAACUCAUAGUGAAGCGCUUGUGGAGUUCGGCUGGAAGAGCAACCAAGGUGAAGGUGAAGAUGCGGAGCUGGAAUCUGGACAAUCAUGUUCACGAAACCAAGCUGGACCAACACAAAGUUCCAAGAAACUAUGUUCCUACCUUACAUGCUUUUGAGGUCCCACGAGAACAUGUAAGAGCUUUAAAUGCUACCAUCCUGGAAUGGGUAUUUGCAAAACCAUUCCUUGCCUUGUUGGAUGGUCACCAAGAUGGAGUCAAUUGCUUGGCAAUGCAUCCAAAGAACUUGGCUACUGCCCUUUCUGGGGCAUGUGAUGGAGAGGUUAGAAUUUGGAACUUGACUCAACGGAAAUGUAUCUGUACAAUACAAGCACAUGAAGGCUUUGUAUGAGGAAUAUGUACUUGCUUUUGUGGGACUUCUUUUUUCACUGUUGGUGAUGACAAAACUGAAGCAGUGGAAAAUGAGAAGAGGAAGAACCAUUACAUACAAUAUUAGGAAAGGCAGUGUGGACUGGGAUUGCCCAUCACUGUAAAGAAGCUGUUUUUGCUACACGUGCACAGCAAAUAGACAUUUGGGAUAAACAAAGAACUAAUCCUAUAUGUUCAAUGACCUGGGAAUUUGACAGUAUGAGUAGUGUUAAAUUUAACCCAAUUGAGACAUUUCUUUUGGAAAGUUGUGUGCCUGACAGGAAUAUAGUACUAUAUGAUAGGAGGCAAGCUACUCCUUUGAAAAAGGUUAUCUUAGACAGGAGAACAAAUACAAUCUGUUGGAACCCUAUGGAAGCUUUCAUUUUUACAGCGACAAAUGCAGAUUCUAAUUUAUAUACUUUUAAGAUGUGUGCAGUGGACACUCCUGUAAUGGUCCAUAUGGAUCAUGUAUCUGCAUUCCUUGAUGUGGAUUACUCUCCCACUAGGAAAGAGUUUGUGUCUGCUAGUUUUGAUAAAUCUAUUCAAAUCUUUCCUGUGGACAAAAGUUGAAGCAGGGAGGUAUAUCAUACAAAGCGAACACAACAUGUUAUCUGUGUAAAAUGGACUUCUGACUGCAAGUAUAUUAUGUUUGGGUCUGAUGAAAUGAACAUUCGCCUAUGGCAAGCUAAUGCUUCUGAAAAAUUGGGUGUGCUUACGUCACGAGAAAACGCAGCCAAGGAUUAUAACCAGAAAUUGAAGGAAAAAUUUCAGCAUCAUCCUCAUAUAAAACAUAUAGCUCGUGAUUGACAUCUACCAAAAUCUAUCUACAGCCAUAUUCAGGAACAGCACAUCAUGAAAGAAGCUUGUUGAUGAAAGGAAGUGAAUCAUAUUAAACACGGCAAGCCUGGAUCUGUGCCAGUUGUGUCAGAGAAGAAGAAACACGUAGUGGCAGUUGUAAAAUAAUUGGUAUUCCUAACAAUCCUGAUGUAUAAUUAUUUUUUACCUUUGAUUUGAGAACUCUAUGAAUAAGUGUUGGGACUUGAAAAAAAAAAUAAUUCCAAGAAGGAGACAUUGUUCUUCCCAUAUUACACUUCUCAGGUAAAAAACAAAGCUCUGAGAUGAUUAGUUAUUUGCAUAAAAGCACCUACCUUAAUAUUAACAGAGAUCAGCCUUAAAUACAGGAUUUUAUGUCUAAAUUUAUGAAUUCUGUUUAUUCUGAUGGGUGAAUCGCUUUGAUUAAGCCCACUGGAAUUGGUGUGCUUUUGUAGCCAUUAUGCCUGGAGUCCUUGAUCAUUGUUUAUUCUUUCUCUUGCUUCAUGACCCCACAGUGGAAUUUCUGUUGAGGAUCCCCAAGACCAUUUUUAUAUUCUUGCUAAAAGACUCAAAGGACUCUACUUAUAGUGGUAAUCAUAGCUAAGAUUUAUUGUAAUAAAAGGGUACAAAACAAGAUAAAUGAAGGAUAAUGACCCUAGGGCAAAGUCUGAAGGAAACUAGGUGCAUGCUUCCAAGGGGCCUCUCCUGGUGGAUUUACAAUAGAUGCACUUAAUUCCUCUAGCAGUGUCUUAUGAAAAUGUGUGAAAUGUUGUCUACCAGGGAAGCUCAUUAAAGACUCAGGACCCAAUAUUUUUGGGGAGGUGUUCACAAAGCCACUCUGUGACUAGCAUGCACCAAAAUUUCAGACUCCCAGAAAGAAGGCAGGUAUUCAACAUAAACAACAAUGCACAAACGAUUUAGACACAGUAAGAUGCUUUUAUGAUUUAAAGAAAGUUUUAUAUCAGUGUAGAGAACUGUUUACCAGUUAAGUUCUCAGAUGCCAACUAAGGGCCGGGUUUGCAAGCAGGCCUUUUUUUUUUUUUUUUUUUUUUUUCACAAAAUUCAAAUGACCUCACAUAAUGAUCCCACUCCAAAAUGUUUUGUCAUUUGCUAUUCUUGAAAUUAAAUCAGGAGUAAGUUCAUGCCUUGGAGUGUUAAAAAGGACAUGAUGCAUGUUAGAAAUAGCCCAAAAUGUUAUUCAUUUGGGGAUUUAAUUUCUUCCUUCCUUCAUUUACUGACCCUCAGAAUAUUUAUUGAAUACCUGUUGUGCUGGGAAGUGGCAGAGCAGACUGAUUAACAUCAUAGUCUCAGAAUCAAGAUGCCUGGGUUUAAUUCCUAAUUCUACCACUUACCAGUUAUAUAAUGUUAGACAAGUUUCUAAUAACUUCUCUGUGGUCAUGUUUUCACAUCUGUAAAACGGGGAUUACAACAGUGCCUACUUCAUAGGGUUUGGGAGGAUAAGACAAGUUAAUAUGCUGUCUGGCACAUAGUGAGUGGGUAAUAAAAGUUAGCUCCUAUUAUGUUCUUCAUAUUGUGCUGGCUCUGGGUAUGCAGUGAUGAAUAGGGCAGAUGUGGUUCCUGCUAGAAUAGAAAUUCUGGCCUUGUGGAUGAUUCAAGCAAAUAAGCAUAAAAUUAUUUUGGAGAGUAAUAACUGCUCCAGUAGGUAAAAUCUUUUGGGUUUUUUAUGAGAGCACAUAAGAGAAAGCCUCACCUAGCUUGGAGGAGGAGAAGUAGAAUUCAGAGAAAAGGGAGAAGGAAGUUGAAAGUGGAGAGAGACUGUGCCAUGCCAAGGGAACAUCUUGGGCAAAAGGUAUUGAAGUGAGGGUAGGAGGUAGAGAGGGGCACUGUAUAUUGGAAUAGGUGAAGUAAUACAUGAUAUGGCUGUAGGAGAGAUAAACUUGUAAUGAUAAACAGGGACCAGAAGAUAAAGAGCUUUUCAAGUCCUUUUCACUUGGCCUGAGAAUAAUGAGUUCUACAGGGGCCAAACCUGGGGACAACUCCCUUUGGAAACACAAGCUGGCUUGAUCCUGAUGGAAGUCUCCUUUGUGUGUAUAGCUCCCUCUCUGAAGAUGGCACUGUCAGCUUUCCUUAGCAAAAGACAGUGAUGACUCUUUUCCCUUUGUGCUUCCUCUCUGUAGAUCAGGUAUUGAUCUGGAACAUUCUGGACCAGGGCUGAGGCAAUUUUAGGGGCUAUUAACAAAUUAAACAUUUUUCAGUUUGCUGCACAUGAGGAUUCUGGAUGUGAGAACAAUAAAAGAAAAGAAUAAGGACAUUUGGUUGUAUUCGUGCUUAGUGAAACUGGUAAAGAAACCACCUGCAAGUACUUAAGUGUCAGUGCUCACCUGUCUGCAAUACAGUCCAGCCUCUUAGAGUGGGCCCAAGUAGUGAUCAGCACUAAACUUGAUGCGAUAUUGUAAUUCUAUGAUUUGGCCUCCUGAAUUUGUGAUUAUUGGGUUACUCCCUUUUCCCCCACAUGCUUCUCUUAUUGGUAUUUCUUUAUACUUUAUGUGCUUUCCAAAUCAUGCUGACAUAUCAGGAAAUGAUUUAUAUUAAGCACACAAGCCAUAAUGAACAUGUCAUUAUUUGUGGAGUAGAAGGGACUGAAAAUUAGUAUUUCCCUGCUGCUUUUUACUGUGGUGAUACUGCCACUUUAAUGAUACAUUUUUUAUUUUGUUCUAAGUAAAAAUGUCUUCUUAAGCUAAUUGUAUAUAACAUUAGGAUUACACCAAAAUUUCUAAUUUUGCAUGGGGCCAUUAUAGUAUCACUUAGGCAAAAAGGUUCCUAAUCCAUCAAGAUUCCACAUUUUAGAGGAAAGUUUUAUGUAUCUCUCUCUCUCUCUCUCUCUCUUUCUCUCUCACACACACACACACACACACACACACACACACACACACACA